rnacentral:misc_RNA from 1 species
CGAAAGGGUUCGUGGGAUUUCCGGCGGAGAAAGGCGUCGAGUUUCGAUUGGAGUUGAUGUCAUACAUGACCCUAAAGUUCUAAUUCUUGAUGAGCCAACCUCUGGUCUUGAUAGUACAUCUGCUUUACAGAUUAUUGACAUGCAAUACUUAAGGUUAUGGCGGAAACAAGGGGUAGAACCAUAAUAUUAAGCAUUCACCAGCCUGGGUUUCGCAUUGUGAAG